AAGAGAAUGAAGAGCAUAGAGAAAAUAGUCGAGAAAGAUGAAGAAAAUAGUAGAGAAAAUAGUGAGUCUUAGAGGAUCAAGGCUAUGAGUGAGACACCCGAACGAGUACUCAAUCAAAUUAUCUAUCUUAAUCAGGAAUAAGAUAUCAGUGAAAUUAUUCGUUGACAUGGGUCAUAGGAACUCCACAUGUUAUCAGGGUCGGCGGCUGACGCAUUUUGGCAACUUCUCCUCCUCAUCAUUUUUGCAUGUAGAUAACUGUAUAGUAUAUAGAGUGGUGAGAGAGUCUCAUUACUGUUAGAAUGUUCUGAAAUAUGUACUUGAUAAAUAUUGAUUUUUGAAAUUAUAUAAUAUGUGUGCUUUU